AAGCGCGAAGAGGAGGGCGACGGGGCUGGGGUUGGGGCUGCGCCGCCGGCCAUCGACUUUCCCGCCGAGGGCCCGGACCCCAAAUAUGACGAAUCUGAUGUUCCAGCAGAACUCCAGGUGUUAAAAGAACCCCUACAACAGCCAACCUUCCCUUUUGCAGUUGCAAACCAACUCUUGCUGGUUUCUUUGUUGGAGCACUUGAGCCAUGUGCAUGAACCAAACCCACUUCGUUCAAGACAGGUGUUUAAGUUACUUUGCCAGACCUUUAUCAAAAUGGGGCUGCUGUCUUCUUUCACUUGUAGUGACGAGUUUAGCUCAUUGAGACUACAUCACAACAGAGCUAUUACUCACUUAAUGAGGUCCGCUAAAGAGAGAGUUCGUCAGGAUCCUUGUGAAGAUAUUUCUCAUAUCCAGAAAAUCAGAUCAAGGGAAGUAGCCUUGGAAGCACAAACUUCACGUUACUUAAAUGAAUUUGAAGAACUUGCCAUCUUAGGAAAAGGUGGAUAUGGAAGAGUAUACAAGGUUGUCUUCCACAUACUUGCUUUGACCUACUACCCUAAAUAAUUGUAUUUUCAGAUAUUGUUUUCAUUAUUCUUUUAUUUAUUUAUUUUUUUGAGAUGGAGUCUCGCUCUGUCGCCAGGCUGGAGUGUGCGGCGCAAUCUCAGCUCACUGCAACCUCUGACUCCCUGGUUCGAGUGAUUCUUCUGCCUCAGCCUCCCAAGUAGCUGGGAUUACAGGCAUGUGCCACUACACCCAGCUAAUUUUUGUAUUUUUAGUGGAGACGGGGUUUC
rnacentral:sRNA from 1 species